rnacentral:lncRNA from 1 species
GGGAAGGAAGGAGGCUUGCCUGCAGCAUUCUCUUGCUGGGAAAGACAGAAGGGCACGUGGUAAGAAGAGGGUCAUUGGAUCGAAGCUCAUGUGCACCACAGCUGUUUCCCCAUCCUCCAGUGGCUGGCACAGGACCCCAGGGUAGCACACUGGCACUUGGGACCUAGAAGGGGAGGAUCUGGGAAGUUCUUGGGGACUGAAGGCCCUCUCUGCUCUAGCCUCACCAUAGUUUGGCCGUUUGUUGAGCCUCCAGGGCUCAGAACCACCAUGACCCCUAAGUUCUGAAAAUCUAGCUGCUUUUUCUUCCUUUAUUCAUUCAACAGACAUUUAUCAAAAACUAUUGUGCACUGUAUGUUGUGCUAGGCAUUGUAAGGUAAGGAUGAGUAAACUAAAAGUCUGGCCUUCAGUUUCUCCUCGGGAUGCUAUGGGAUUUUUUUUUUUUUUUUUUU